GAUGAACGCUAGCGAUAGGCUUAACACAUGCAAGUCGAGGGGCAGCAUGGUCUUAGCUUGCUAAGACUGAUGGCGACCGGCGCACGGGUGCGUAACGCGUAUGCAACUUGCCUCACAGAGGGGGAUAACCCGUCGAAAGACGGACUAAUACCGCGUACACUCCAUCUUGGGCAUCCAAGGUAGAGGAAAUGAAAUUCGCUGUGAGAUAGGCAUGCGUCCCAUUAGCUGGUUGGUGAGGUAACGGCUCACCAAGGCGACGAUGGGUAGGGGAACUGAGAGGUUGAACCCCCACACUGGUACUGAGACACGGACCAGACUCCUACGGGAGGCAGCAGUGAGGAAUAUUGGUCAAUGGGCGAGAGCCUGAACCAGCCAAGUCGCGUGAAGGAUGACUGUCUUAUGGAUUGUAAACUUCUUUUAUACGGGAAUAACAAGAGUCACGUGUGACUCCCUGCAUGUACCGUAUGAAUAAGCAUCGGCUAACUCCGUG
rnacentral:rRNA from 1 species